rnacentral:lncRNA from 1 species
CCUCCCUUUCCAUUUCCCUGUGCGCAUGACUGUAAGUAGAAGUAUAUGGAUGUGGGUGUGACGGUAUUUCAAAGAAGGUUAUGCGUCCGUUGACUCUUGGGACCAGUAACGGGACACACAUGGUUGUCUAAAUGAGUAGACACAUGUCCAUAACGCCCUUUCGAUAACCCCAGUCGGACGCCGAGGGAUCGGACCAUCAAUUGGUGACAGCUUGUCCAGUGGGAAUGUUGUUAAAGGUGAGG